GUCCCCUUCGUCUAGUGGUUAGGACACUGCUUUUUCAAGGCAGCAACACGGGUUCGAACCCCGUAGGGGAUGCUA
rnacentral:tRNA from 1 species